rnacentral:rRNA from 1 species
UACGUAGGGCGCAAGCGUUAUCCGGAAUUAUUGGGCGUAAAGAGCUCGUAGGCGGUUUGUCGCGUCUGCCGUGAAAAGUCCGGGGCUCAACUCCGGAUCUGCGGUGGGUACGGGCAGACUAGAGUGAUGUAGGGGAGACUGGAAUUCCUGGUGUAGCGGUGAAAUGCGCAGAUAUCAGGAGGAACACCGAUGGCGAAGGCAGGUCUCUGGGCAGUAGCUGACACUGAGGCGCGACAGCGUGGGGAGCGAACAGG